GUCACUUUGCCGGAGUGGUUAACGGGAUCGCCUGCUAUCUUGAGUAGUCAAGCGGUUGGUCUUUGACCGCGAGUGUUCGAAUCGCUCAGGUGACG